rnacentral:misc_RNA from 1 species
AAAUCGUAACAAGGUUUCCGUAGGUGAGCCUGCGGAAGGAUCAUUACCUUUCUGGCUUUUAAUAGCUUGUCUGGGGGCUGCAGUUUCUGCAGUCUCUGACUACAUCCGUGUUUUUUGCGUUACUACAUGUUUCCUCGGGCGGCUUGCUUGCCGUUGGCAGUCGAAACAAUAAUAACUCUUUGCAAUUUGCAAUCAGCGUCUGAAUUAUAUAAUAAUUACAA